AGGUACAGCCAUACACUGCUGAACACACCUGAUCAUGUCUGAUCUCAGAAGCUAAGCUGGGUCUGGCCUGGUUAGCACUUGGAUGGGAGACUGCAUGGGAAUACCAGGUGUUGUAGGCU
rnacentral:rRNA from 1 species